GGGAAUUUUCCGCAAUGGGCGAAAGCCUGACGGAGCAAUACCGCGUGAGGGAGGAAGGCUCUUGGGUUGUAAACCUCUUUUCUCAGGGAAGAACACAAUGACGGUACCUGAGGAAUCAGCAUCGGCUAACUCCGUGCCAGCAGCCGCGGUAAGACGGAGGAUGCAAGCGUUAUCCGGAUUUAUUGGGCGUAAAGCGUCCGCAGGUGGUUAUUCAAGUCUGCUGUCAAAGCGCGAGGCUUACCUUCGUAAAGGCAGUGGAAACUGAAUGACUUGAGAAUGAUAGGGGCAGAGGGAAUUCCCAGUGUAGCGGUGAAAUGCGUAGAGAUUGGGAAGAACACCGGUGGCGAAAGCGCUCUGCUGGGUCAUAUCUGACACUGAGGGACGAAAGCUAGGGGAGCGAAAGGGAUUAGAUACC
rnacentral:rRNA from 1 species